rnacentral:lncRNA from 1 species
AAUUCACAGUGUUUCCUUAAGGAAUUUAAUCUCCUCAUAGUAACCCAGGUUGUGGAUUAUUUCCUCCCAGGAUAGAACGAAUUACACACUGGUGUAGCGAUACUUCAAACACCAGUGUUUCAGCGAAUACAAAGAUCGGUAGCAAAUCACACUUACUGGUGCUUUGUUUGUAGUUAAAACAAUGUAGAAGAAAGGAGGAGAAGUCAGAAAUUUGUAUGAAAAAUCUAAGAGAAUGGACUGGUAUUUAUAGUCAAUGUUGAGCUCAAACUUAAGAGGUGCAACUCUUCAAAUCUGAAGAGGUGCCAACUGUUUCUUCAAAUCUGAAGAGGUGCAAACUGUUCUUCAAAUCUGAAGAGGUGCAAACUGUUCUUCAAAUCCGAAGAGGUGCAAACUGUUUUGUAAAUGUCUUUUACAAAAAGCGAAGGGCAUAUACUAUUACGUUUGGAUUUAAUAUUAAUAUUUCGUUUACAAAAAAUUGGAUAUUUAAUAACAACUCUGUUAAUAUUUACUAUUAACAAAUAAAUUUGGUUUAAAAAAUUAAUCAAUCAAUUGACCAAAGCCGAAGCCGUAGCCGAGCGAGCGACGAUGACGACGAAAGGCUUGCCUUCUUCUUAACUCUUUAAGAGCUAGAAGAAGUGCAAUUGUAUAUAUACCCAUCAAAAUCUUUUCCUCUUCCAAUAUGGGACAAUAUCCCUUUGUCAAUGAGGGAAAUUCAAAUAUUUUCAAUUUCCCUCCAUUUCCCAUUCACCCUCUUUUAAGCUAUAUUUAAGCUUAAAACCCCAAUAAUUUUAAGCUACAUUUAAGCUUAAAAACCCA